CCUACGGGGGGCAGCAGUGGGGGAUAUUGGGCAAUGGGCGCAAGCCUGACCCAGCAAUGCCGCGUGAAGGAAGAAGGCCCUCGGGUUGUAAACUUCUUUUAUCAGGGGCGAAGGAUGUGACGGUACCUGAUGAAUAAGCCCCGGCUAACUACGUGCCAGCAGCCGCGGUAAUACGUAGGGAGCAAGCGUUAUCCGGAUUUACUGGGUGUAAAGGGCGUGUAGGCGGGAGUGCAAGUCAGAUGUGAAAACUAUGGGCUCAACCCAUAGCCUGCAUUUGAAACUGUACUUCUUGAGUGCUGGAGAGG
rnacentral:rRNA from 1 species